CCUACGGGAGGCUGCAGUGGGGAAUAUUGGACAAUGGGGGGAACCCUGAUCCAGCCAUGCCGCGUGUGUGAAGAAGGCCCUCGGGUUGUAAAGCACUUUCAGUGAGGAAGAACGCCUGGUGGUUAAUACCCAUCAGGAAAGACAUCACUCACAGAAGAAGCACCGGCUAACUCCGUGCCAGCAGCCGCGGUAAUACGGAGGGUGCGAGCGUUAAUCGGAAUAACUGGGCGUAAAGCGCGCGUAGGUGGCUUGAUAAGCCGGUUGUGAAAGCCCCGGGCUCAACCUGGGAACGGCAUCCGGAACUGUCAAGCUAGAGUGCAGGAGAGGAAGGUAGAAUUCCCGGUGUAGCGGUGAAAUGCGUAGAGAUCGGGAGGAAUACCAGUGGCGAAGGCGGCCUUCUGGACUGACACUGACACUGAGGUGCGAAAGCGUGGGUAGCAAACAGGAUUAGAUACCCUAGUAGUC
rnacentral:rRNA from 1 species